CUGUCAGACUUGAGUACACGCAGCGCAGGCGGAAUUCAUGGUGUAGCGGUGAAAUGCUUAGAUAUCAUGAGGAACUCCGAUCGCGAAGGCAGCCUGCGGGAGUGUUACUGACGCUUAAGCUCGAAGGUGCGGGUAUCGAACAGGAUUAGAUACCCUGGUAGUCCGCACAGUAAACGAUGGAUGCCCGCCGUUGGCGCCCUGCGCCUGCGGCCAAGCGAAAGCAUUAAGCAUCCCACCUGGGGAGUACGCCGGCAACGGUGAAACUCAAAGGAAUUGACGGGGGCCCGCACAAGCGGAGGAACAUGUGGUUUAAUUCGAUGAUACGCGAGGAACCUUACCCGGGCUUGAAUUGCAGUCGCUGCCCACAGAGACGUGGGCUUCCCUUCGGGGCGUCUGUGAAGGUGCUGCAUGGUUGUCGUCAGCUCGUGCCGUGAGGUGUCGGCUUAAGUGCCAUAACGAGCGCAACCCCCUUUCCCAGUUGCCAUCGGGUUAUGCCGGGCACUCUGGGGACACUGCCACCGCAAGGUGCGAGGAAGGUGGGGAUGACGUCAAAUCAGCACGGCCCUUACGUCCGGGGCUACACACGUGUUACAAUGGCCGGUACAGAGGGACGGUGCAAUGCAAGUUGCAUCCAAUCUUGAAAUCCGGUCCCAGUUCGGACUGGGGUCUGCAACCCGACCCCACGAAGCUGGAUUCGCUAGUAAUCGCGCAUCAGCCAUGGCGCGGUGAAUACGUUCCCGGGCCUUGUACACACCGCCCGUCAAGCCAUGAA
rnacentral:rRNA from 1 species